GUAGUUGAGAUCUGACGACAAUAGAUUGGUGGGCAUCUUCCUUUCAAUCUCUCUCUAGUCUUGUUGAGACUUGAGACAUGAGAUCAUUAUCCCAAAAAAAAAGUUGAGACUCGAGAGUUGAGACAUAAAUCAAACCCAGAUCUACUUUCUUUCUCUCCUCAUCUCAGUCUUCGUCUCCCUCUCCUUCAGAGUUGAGAUCUGAACAAGAUCUAGUUUGUUCUCCCAUCAUUUUAAUUUGAUUCCUCUCUAUUGUUUUUUUUCUUUUUCUUUUCCGGCUUCGGUCUAUCUUCUCGUUUAGGCCUCUCCGACUUCUCCUCAACAUAUGCCCAGAAACCCUAAUCCCAAAAACUCCAUGUAUUCACUCUAGCAAAUUGAGAUUUCAUUUCAAAGCAGAAGGAGGUAAAUCAGGGUAAGUUGCUCUCCAAAAAUGGGUAUGUCGCUCUCCAAAUUGUUGUUUUAUUUUCGUUCUUGGAGAUGGCUAUUUGAGUUAUCUCUCCAUUCAUUAAUAUCUAAGGAAAUUCUUUACUUUUGGGUAGAAGAUUGGGAACUGAAAAUUGAAAUCAGCAAAAAUGAGAUUAACAACAUAGUAAGCAUUGUUACCAUGUCUGGCCACUUUCAUCCACUUCCACCUAUGGUCUCCAUGGAACUGGAAAUGCUUUUAUUUCUUUUCAACCUGGCGGAUGGUCGAUCACUUAACACAGUCUCAUAGAAUGGCAUGUGGAUGAAUUUAGCACUCUGUUUGAUUUGAUAUGGAGGUGCUAGACUUUGCUUGCCUUAUCGGUGGGAUUGUACUCUCUGUCCCAACUGUUUGGACACAUAGAAUUUGAAGUUCUUGUCUAACUCAGGAAUGUGGGAUUGGUGUACAAUGCAAAGUUCAUAGGCUAGCUAUGGAGGUACCACCACUCAGCUUUCAACAUCAUCUUCUCUGCAACUUUCACUUUACUUAUUUUAUUAGGUACUCACUCACCACUAGAUGAUCUCUAUAGCAUAACAAGCUGGGUGAUCCUCCUUGUUGAGGAGAUCAGGAAAUGCUAAUUGGACAUCCAAGAUAGACAAAUGAGAAAGCAUAUAAAAGAUGCUGGAGGUGGAGGUAUCAGAUGCAGCUAUGGGGAGGAAGAGAGAGAUUUAUGUUUUUUUUAUGUUGUAUUUCAUUUGAAGUUGUAUAUGAAUUGUACAGUAUUAUAAUUAGUAUAUUUUAGAAUUAUACAGUACAUAUAGGUGGCCCAAAUCUUUAUUUUUUUUAUAUAUCCUCCCAAGUCUGCCACUGAUGUUGGUGGCAUUAGAAAACACACCAAUUCAAUAACAGUGGGAAGGAAAAAGUAAUGUGCUGCAUUGGGUAUUGGUAUGUCACUGUUGUUUUAUCAGUGUGUAUUGUCCUAAUAGCACCUGCAAUAGAGGGGACUGAUUCCUCAAUAGUGGCUGCAUAGUGGGAAAUGAGAUU